rnacentral:rRNA from 1 species
AGAACGCUGAAGGAGGAGCUUGCUCUUCUGGAUGAGUUGCGAACGGGUGAGUAACGCGUAGGUAACCUGCCUGGUAGCGGGGGAUAACUAUUGGAAACGAUAGCUAAUACCGCAUAACAGUAGAUGUUGCAUGACAUUUGCUUAAAAGGUGCAAUUGCAUCACUACCAGAUGGACCUGCGUUGUAUUAGCUAGUUGGUGGGGUAACGGCUCACCAAGGCGACGAUACAUAGCCGACCUGAGAGGGUGAUCGGCCACACUGGGACUGAGACACGGCCCAGACUCCUACGGGAGGCAGCAGUAGGGAAUCUUCGGCAAUGGACGGAAGUCUGACCGAGCAACGCCGCGUGAGUGAAGAAGGUUUUCGGAUCGUAAAGCUCUGUUGUAAGAGAAGAACGAGUGUGAGAGUGGAAAGUUCACACUGUGACGGUAUCUUACCAGAAAGGGACGGCUAACUACGUGCCA